rnacentral:tRNA from 1 species
GACGUCAUAGUUCAGAUAGUAGAGCAUCGCACCGAUAACGCGGAGGUCAUGGGUUCAAAUCCCGUUGAAGCUCA